rnacentral:rRNA from 1 species
AGUGGCGGACGGGUGAGUAACGCGUAAGAAUCUAACUUCAGGACGGGGACAACAGUGGGAAACGACUGCUAAUACCCGAUGUGCCGCAAGGUGAAACCUAAUUGGCCUGGAGAAGAGCUUGCGUCUGAUUAGCUAGUUGGUGGGGUAAAGGCCUACCAAGGCGACGAUCAGUAGCUGGUCUGAGAGGAUGAGCAGCCACACUGGGACUGAGACACGGCCCAGACUCCUACGGGAGGCAGCAGUGGGGAAUUUUCCGCAAUGGGCGAAAGCCUGACGGAGCAACGCCGCGUGAGGGAGGAAGGUCUUUGGAUUGUAAACCUCUUUUCUCAAGGAAGAAGUUCUGACGGUACUUGAGGAAUCAGCCUCGGCUAACUCCGUGCCAGCAGCCGCGGUAAUACGGGGGAGGCAAGCGUUAUUCGGAAUUAUUGGGCGUAAAGCGUCCGCAGGUGGUCAGCCAAGUCUGCCGUCAAAUCAGGUUGCUUAACGACCUAAAGGCGGUGGAAACUGGCAGACUAGAGAGCAGUAGGGGUAGCAGGAAUUCCCAGUGUAGCGGUGAAAUGCGUAGAGAUUGGGAAGAACAUCGGUGGCGAAAGCGUGCUACUGGGCUGUAUCUGACACUCAGGGACGAAAGCUAGGGGAGCGAAAGGGAUUAGAUACCCCUGUAGUCCUAGCCGUAAACGAUGGAUACUAGGCGUGGCUU